rnacentral:rRNA from 1 species
AGAGUUUGAUCCUGGCUCAGAACGAACGCUGGCGGCGUGCCUAACACAUGCAAGUCGAACGCGAAAUUUUUCUUCGGAAAGAAAGUAGAGUGGCGCACGGGUGAGUAACGCGUAAGUUAUCUACCUCGGCAUCUGGAAUAACUCACCGAAAGGUGUGCUAAUACCGGAUACGUUGAGUAAUCAAGAAAGGUGGCCUCUGAAUAUGCUACUGUGUUGAGGUGAGCUUGCGUACCAUUAGCUAGUUGGUAGGGUAAUGGCCUACCAAGGCGACGAUGGUUAGCGGGUCUGAGAGGAUGAUCCGCCACACUGGAACUGGAACACGGACCAGGCCCCUACGGGAGGCAGCAGUGGGGAAUUUUGCGCAAUGGGCGAAAGCCUGACGCAGCAACGCCGCGUGAGUGAUGAAGGCCUUCGGGUCGUAAAGCUCUGUCAGUGGGGAAGAACCGCCGGGUGGUUAAUACCUGCCUGGUCUGACGGUACCCACAAAGGAAGCACCGGCUAACUCCGUGCCAGCAGCCGCGGUAAUACGGAGGGUGCAAGCGUUGUUCGGAAUUAUUGGGCGUAAAGCGCGUGUAGGCGGUUUGUUAAGUCUGGUGUGAAAGCCCUGGGCUCAACCUGGGAAGUGCAUUGGGUACUGGCAAACUUGAGUACGGGAGAGGAUAGUGGAAUUUCGAGUGUAGGGGUGAAAUCCGUAGAUAUUCGAAGGAACACCGGUGGCGAAGGCGGCUAUCUGGACCGAUACUGACGCUGAGACGCGAAAGCGUGGGUAGCAAACAGGAUUAGAUACCCUGGUAGUCC